AUGAAGGUUGAAGAAGCAUUGGAGGAUCCGGAUUGGAUAAAUGCUAUGCAUGAAGAGCUACACAACUUUGAGAGAAAUCAAGUGUGGACUUUGGUCGAGAAGCCCGACAACAACCACAACAUCAUUGGUACCAAAUGGGUGUUUCGCAACAAGAAAGAUGAAGAUGGACAAGUGGUUCGCAACAAGGCACGUCUCGUCGCCCAAGGCUACACACAAGUUGAAGGUAUGGACUAUGGUGAGACAUAUGCUCCUGUUGCUAGACUUGAGUCCAUUCGCAUCUUACUUGAUUAUGCUAAUCACCAUGAUAUCACCUUGUACAAAAUGGACAUU
rnacentral:rRNA from 1 species